UCCGAAGGGGGCUAGCGUUGUUCGGAUUUACUGGGCGUAAAGCGCAUGUAGGCGGGCCUGCAAGUUGGGGGUGAAAUCCCGGAGCUCAACUCCGGAACUGCCUCCAAAACUGCUGGACUGGAGCAGAAGAGAGGCGAGUGGAAUUCCGAGUGUAGAGGUGAAAUUCGUAGAUAUUCGGAGGAACACCAGUGGCGAAGGCGACUCGCUGGCUUCUUGCUGACGCUGAGAUGCGAAAGCGUGGGGAGAAAACAGG
rnacentral:rRNA from 1 species